UACGUAGGGUCCAAGCGUUAUCCGGAAUCACUGGGCGUAAAGCGUGCGUAGGCGGUCUGUUAAGUGAGAUGUGAAAUCGUGUGGCUCAACCAUAUCGUUGUGUCUCAUACUGGCAGACUAGAGGAUAGCAGAGGCAAGUGGAAUUACGAGUGUAGCAGUGAAAUGCGUGGAGAUUCGUAGGAACACCAAUGGCGAAGGCAGCUUGCUGGGCUAUAUCUGACGCUCAGGCACGAAAGCGUGGGGAGCGAACAGG
rnacentral:rRNA from 1 species